rnacentral:rRNA from 1 species
GCUUAGCCCUAAACAAAGAUAAUGAAAAUACAACACUAUCCGCCAGAGAACUACAAGCGAAAAGCUAGAAACUCCAAGGACUUGGCGGUGCUUCAAACCAACCUAGAGGAGCCUGUCCUAUAAUCGAUACUCCACGUUUUACCUUACCCCCUCUAGCCCUCAGCCUAUAUACCGCCGUCGUAAGCCUACCUUAUGAAAGAAAAAAAGUGGGCGAAAUAGUUAUUUAUUAAUACGUCAGGUCAAGGUGUAGCACACGAGGCGGUAGAGAUGGGCUACAUUCUCAAAACAGCAUACGACAUGGUAUAUUGAAACAUAUACUUGAAGGCGGAUUUAGCAGUAAGACAAGUAAGAGACCCUGUCUUAAAUAUGCUCUGAAGCGCGCACACACCGC